GCCUGGAUGGCGGAAUGGUAGACGCGACGGACUCAAAAUCCGUUUCCCAUUAGGGAGUAAGGGUUCAAGUCCCUUUCUAGGCACCA
rnacentral:tRNA from 1 species